UACGGAGGGAGCUAGCGUUGUUCGGAAUUACUGGGCGUAAAGCGCACGUAGGCGGCGAUUCAAGUCAGAGGUGAAAGCCCGGGGCUCAACCCCGGAACUGCCUUUGAAACUAGAUUGCUAGAAUCCUGGAGAGGUUAGUGGAAUUCCGAGUGUAGAGGUGAAAUUCGUAGAUAUUCGGAAGAACACCAGUGGCGAAGGCGACUAACUGGACAGGUAUUGACGCUGAGGUGCGAAAGCGUGGGGAGCAAACGGG
rnacentral:rRNA from 1 species